rnacentral:rRNA from 1 species
CCUACGGGAGGCUGCAGUGAGGAAUAUUGGUCAAUGGACGAGAGUCUGAACCAGCCAAGUAGCGUGAAGGAUGACUGCCCUAUGGGUUGUAAACUUCUUUUAUAUGGGAAUAAAAUGUUCCACGUGUGGGAUUUUGUAUGUACCAUAUGAAUAAGGAUCGGCUAACUCCGUGCCAGCAGCCGCGGUAAUACGGAGGAUCCGAGCGUUAUCCGGAUUUAUUGGGUUUAAAGGGAGCGUAGGUGGAUUGUUAAGUCAGUUGUGAAAGUUUGCGGCUCAACCGUAAAAUUGCAGUUGAAACUGGCAGUCUUGAGUACAGUAGAGGUGGGCGGAAUUCGUGGUGUAGCGGUGAAAUGCUUAGAUAUCACGAAGAACUCCGAUUGCGAAGGCAGUUCACUGGACUGAAACUGACACUGAGGCUCGAAAGUGUGGGUAUCAAACAGGAUUAGAUACCCUUGUAGUC